GAGCAUAUAGCUCAGUGGUAGAGUGUGUGCUUAGCAUGCACGAGGUCCUGUGUUCA
rnacentral:tRNA from 1 species